CCGCCAAAUGAAUGGAAGAUUAAAAACCCUUGUAGGCCUUUACAUUGCUCUGUUAAUCUGCGUAUUCUGUCUAGGAUAUAGAUGUUGUAACGGGAAAUGAAGAUUACCUAUUGUAUAAUGACCCCUCGCAUAAUUAUUAGCCGCAUCUUCCUUGCCAGUAAUCAUUUGCUCCGGAUGGAACAAUUGCUUGUUGACACGCUGUAACCAUAGCAGCUUAAUCGAACAUCAAACUGCAUACCCAUCACAUGUAUGUGAUACGAUAGCGCGAUUCACGGAAGACAUUUCACUGUGAUCUCUGAGUGGGCGUAAAAUCGCAGAUUUAUUCAUUCAUUCGUAAAGCAUCCAGGCUGAAUGUAGUCCAUUCCUAAAUUUCAGAAAUUGAUUUCUCUUUGAAGAAAAUAUUCGAUAGAGGCAGACAUAUUUUAACGCGCAAAUAUUGAAUAUUCUAAAAAAUAUACCUAUGUAUAAUCAUCAUGCGCACCACAGGUAUAUGAGAGGGAGAGAUCACCACGCUCGGACACGAGUAAUAGGACUGAGGAGGAGGAGAUAAUAUAUAUAACUACAGAUAUAUAACUAAUAAAAAGCUUCUAGAAGCAAUUGAUCAAUGAA